rnacentral:rRNA from 1 species
AUUGAACGCCGGCGGCAGGCUUAACACAUGCCAGUCGAGCGGAGAUGAGGUGCUUGCACCUUAUCUUAGCGGCGGACGGGUGAGUAAUGCUUAGGAAUCUGCCUAUUAGUGGGGGACAACAUUCCGAAAGGAAUGCUAAUACCGCAUACGUCCUACGGGAGAAAGCAGGGGAUCUUCGGACCUUGCGCUAAUAGAUGAGCCUAAGUCGGAUUAGCUAGUUGGUGGGGUAAAGGCCUACCAAGGCGACGAUCUGUAGCGGGUCUGAGAGGAUGGUCCGCCACACUGGGACUGAGACACGGCCCAGACUCCUACGGGAGGCAGCAGUGGGGAAUAUUGGACAAUGGGGGGAACCCUGAUCCAGCCAUGCCGCGUGUGUGAAGAAGGCCUUAUGGUUGUAAAGCACUUUAAGCGAGGAGGAGGCUACUGAGACUAAUACUCUUGGAUAGUGGACGUUACUCGCAGAAUAAGCACCGGCUAACUCUGUGCCAGCAGCCGCCGUAA